rnacentral:rRNA from 1 species
GACGAACGCUGGCGGCGUGCUUAACACAUGCAAGUCGAACGGAAAGGCCCUGCUUUUGUUGGGUGCUCGUGUGGCGAACGGGUGAGUAACACGUGAGUAACCUGCCCUUUACUUUGUGAUAACUUCAGGAAACUGGGGCUAAUACCGGAUAGGAGCUCCUACUGCAUGGUGGUGGUUGGAAAGUUUCGGCGGUUGGGGAUGGACUCGCGGCUUAUCAGCUUGUUGGUGGGGUAGUUGCUUACCAAGGCUUUGACGGGUAGCCGGCCUGAGAGGGGUAACAGCGACAUUGGGACUGAGAUACGGACCAGACUCCUACGGGAGGCAGCAGUGGGGAGUAUUGCACAAUGGGCGGAAGCCUGAGGCAGAAACGCCGGGGGCGGGAUGACGGCCUUCGGGUUGUGAACAGCUUUCGCCUGAGACGAAGCGUGAGUGACGGUAAUGGGUAAAGAAGCACCGGCUAACUACGUG